GUAAGGAUUGAUAGACUGAGAGCUCUUUCUUGAUUCUAUGGGUGGUGGUGCAUGGCCGUUCUUAGUUGGUGGAGUGAUUUGUCUAGUUAAUUCUGUUAACGAACGAGAUAUCAGCUUGCUAACUAUUCUUGGUCUUUUUUGUGCGUUGUCUUUAUUUUGUAUUAUUUGCGGUGGCGGGUCAAUCGAGGAUGUACGGGCGACUGUGCGUGGCGUUGAAACAUUGGUUUCUUUUUUCUAGCCUAUUUUAACCUAGUUUGACGGAUUGGUUCAUCGUGAGUAUCAAGUUUUUGUCAUUUUCUCUUGUUUCUUUAUUGUUUUU
rnacentral:ncRNA from 1 species